AUUUCUCAGACUUUACUAUACAAAGCACUUUGUAAUCUUUUUUUAAUUUUUGUGCUGCAGGACGAACUCUGACUCAGCAUUGCACCAGAGCACAUUAACUCCGGCCCAGCAGGCCUUGUUUACAGGAGGAUCCCAGGAGCUCCAGCCAAAAAGAUUUCUCCUGCUCACUGUCCCCGGGGCUGAAGCAAUUAAACAGGAAGUUGAUGAAAAUGGUCAAAACCAAAACUGGGAGUGCAAAAAGAACAUUUCAAGAUCCAAGCCCUGCAAAGUUCCAGGGAUCCACAUAUUCCCAUCUCCUGACCAGCAGUUGACCACUUCAUUAAACCCGGCAGCCCACAACACUGGCGGUUCUCUUCCCGACCUGACAAACAUCCAGUUCCCUCCUCCGCUGCCUACCCCGCUCGACUCAGAUGAUGUGGUGGCCGGCUCGUUCAGCUCCUCCAACAGCACACAGGCACUGGCCAACACGCAAGGAGUGAACACCUCUCAACCCGCAGUAACCAUGGAAAUCCAGUCUGGGCAGGAAGACAUGGUUCCUCUCAUCUUGAAUGCAGGAGACUCCCACCAGCACCAGAACCUGCAGCUCUCUCCGACAUCUCCACCUCUCUCUCUCUCUCAGGUACUCUGCCCUGACCUU